GGUAGUGGCAAAUAUUCAAAUGAGAACUUUGAACACUGAAGUGGGAAAAGGUUCCAUGUGAACAACAUUUGGACAUGGGUUAGUCAAUUCUAAGAGAUGGAGAAGCCCUAUAUCAAUGGUGUUGUCUACAUGAACAUCGAAAGGGAAUCAUUUUAAUAUUCCCAUACCUCGACAUGAUGGUGGAUGGCAAUGCUAGGAAAUUUGAAGAUGUCGUUGGGGUCCUUGGGAAGAGUUGUCUUUUCUUUUUAACAAGUUUCCCACCAAGAAAUUGGUUCAAUUGGAGAUAGGGUCUAAUAUUUGGAAGAACAUCGGAUGUCUUGUAGUGUCCAGUGCGUCCUCAAUGACCCUUGAAAAUAUGGAGAAUCGAGUGUCAUCCAUUAUUUAUUGUACUCAUAACUACAUCAAGUCUCAAAGGAGACCAACCUCUAGUC
rnacentral:ncRNA from 1 species